AGGUCAGUAGCUCAAUUGGUAGAGCACCGGUCUCCAAAACCGGGGGUUGGGGGUUCGAUCCCCUCCUGGCCUGCCA
rnacentral:tRNA from 1 species